GAUGAACGCUGGCGGCGUGCCUAAUACAUGCAAGUCGAACGAGCUCUUCGGAGCUAGUGGCGGACGGGUGAGUAACACGUUGGUACCUACCCCGAAGUGGGGAAUAACUGCCCGAAAGGGUGGCUAAUACCGCAUAAUACCGUAAGGUUAAAGCAGUAAUGCGCUUCGGGAGGGGCCUGCGUCCCAUUAGCUAGUUGGCGGGGUAAAUGCCCACCAAGGCGACGAUGGGUAGCUGGAUCGAGAGGUUGACCAGCCACACUGGGACUGAGAUACGGCCCAGACUCCUACGGGAGGCAGCAGUAAGGAAUCUUCCACAAUGGACGAAAGUCUGAUGGAGCAACGCCGCGUGCAGGAUUAAGGCCUUCGGGUUGUAAACUGCUUUUAUAUAGGAAGAUUAUGACGGUACCUGACCAGAAAGCCACGGCUAACUACGUGCCAGCCGCCGCCGUAAUAC
rnacentral:rRNA from 1 species